UGCAUCUAGAUUCAUUAGACUAUCAUGUGACUGGAAAAGAGGGGUGGGGCUGCAUGUGUUGUGCAGAAUUUGACUAAUUAGCGAGUUAUUACACUUUCCAGAUUGGUGGCAAUGGACUCUGAUGAAUGGACCAACGGUAGAUUACGUCAUGAGGAGGCUGAGAGCCUGCAGGGUGGGUGGGGCUCACACACACAAGCCCCAUGCAGUAUGCACACGUACACAGUACAGUGCUAGACGCUCAAGUAUCCACUGCAGCAUAUCGCAUGUAGACUAGAUCUACUGUUGAUUGAAGCAUAGAUAGUAGAAGAAGUAAGGGAGUAGUCUCUCGAAACAUGUCUGUCGAUUCCUCUACUAUAUAUCUAUAAUUGAAGCAACAAUUUAAGAAAGGUAUGGAACAGCUGGUCCAGGUCUCCUUGGUGUCGUCCUUUCACUCCCUACACAAAGUACAAGUGUUUAAACAUUCUCGGUAUGGCUCCGUUGGUAUCAGGUAAACCUGAAAAUGCAUUCGUUGGUCCAUUAAAGUUCCUAUUUCAGUGGGUGGACCAACGGGCUGGAUAACAAGCAAGAAAAUAGUUUACUUACAUUGUACUUUGCAUGCAUUCUUUUUUAUAGCCGUAUCCGAGCUCAUUUAAAAGCUUGGUGUCUUCGUUGGCAUCAGGAAAACCUGCUCGUUAGUCCAUACAGGAGGCCGUUUCUGGAAACUAGGUGGACCAACGGCCUGGACGACAAGUAAAAAAAUAGUUCACGCACUUUGAAUGCAUUCUGUGUUCCCCAGUUUGGUGUGAUUAUGAGCUCAUUUCAAAGCUUGGUGUCUCCGUUGGCAUCAUUAUAAACUGGAAAUCCUGCUUGUUGGUCUAUGAGGUUUCCUGUUUCUGGAAACUGGAUGGACCAACGGCCUGGACGACAAUUUGGUGUGAUUAUGAGCUCAUUUCAAAGCUUGGUGUCUCCGUUGGCAUCAUUAUAAACUGGAAAUCCUGCUUGUUGGUCUAUGAGGUUUCCUGUUUCUGGAAACUGGAUGGACCAACGGCCUGGACGACAAUUUGGUGUGAUUAUGAGCUCAUUUCAAAGCUUGGUGUCUCCGUUGCAUCAUUAUAAACUGGAAAUCCUGCUUGUUGGUCUAUGAGGUUUCCUGUUUCUGGAAACUGGAUGGACCAACGGCCUGGACGACAAUUUGGUGUGAGCAAGCUUGCAUGGUGUCUCCGUUGGCAUUAUUAAACUGGAAAACCUGCUCGUUGGUCCAUAUAAGGUUUCAUGUUUCUGGAAACUGGGUGGACAAUUAAUGGCCUGAACGACAAGUAAGAAAAUAGUUCACGCACUUUCUUUUAAUGUGUUCCAGGUUGGUGUGAGCUUCAAAGCUUGCAUGGUGUCUCCGUUGGCAUCUUUAAACUAGAAAACCUGCUCGUUGGUCUAUAAGAUUUCCUGCUUCUGGAAACUAGGUGGACCAACGGUCUGGACAACAAGUAAGAAAUAGUUCACGCAGCUUGAAUGCAAUGUGUUUCAGGUUGGUGUCAGCUCAUUUCAAAGCUUAGUGUCUCUUGUUUGCAUCAAUUAAGGAAACUAGGUGGACCAACGGCCUGGACGACAAUUGGUUGUCAGAGCUUGGUGGCUCUCCGUUGGCAUCAUGCAGUUAUACUAAUAAACCUGGACGUUGGCCCAUAACCUUUUCUGUUUUGGAAACUGGGUGGACCAACGGCCUGGACGACACUGACAGGUGGGUAUCAGCUCAUUUCAAAUGCUGCAUGCAUGGUGGCUUUGUUGGAAACUCGAAAACCUGUUCCCUGCAUGGUCUAUCAGAAUAUCAUAUCCAGCCGGAAAUUGGAUAGACAACAGCCUAUACGACAGCUGCAUCUACAGACUCUAUUAUACAUCAGACUGAAUGAAAGCCUCACUGCGACUCUGUAUGCUGAAAUCUACAAUGACAUUUAAGGAUUCUGUUUCCGUGUAGAGUAAGAGGCUGGCACUGGAUUCUUGUUGCUGUCAAUCUCCCAAAGAAAACUGUCUAUGUUCUUGACUCCCAGUCGCCAAUUCUCUCACCUUUUACUGAGCAGGCAACAUGCAUGCACAAGACAUUAAUCACUUCUUAAGCAUGUGCAUUCGAUCACCUGCAAAGAUGGAUAUACAGUGUGUGAAGGUGGCCGCUCAGGAUGGAGUUGAAUGUGGCAUUCAUGUGAUACACAAUAAUUAUUAUGACAAUGGUCAAGUUUUCUGGACUACCUGCAUCAAAGCACCUGCAAAAGUCUGUAAACACUGCUGAAUUACGUGGAUUGAUCCUGUUAUCAUGCUACUCCACUCAACAAAGCCAAAAGACAUCUCACGGCGUCAGAAGGAGUAAAAGGGUUGCUAAUACAGAUCUGCAGACUGAUGAUGAUGCCAGUGUAUCUGUUAAGAAGACAGCAAAAUCGAAGCCUUAACUGCUAUUUUUACUUAACAUUAAUUGUAUAGCUUGUAGUAUAGCUCAGAAUGUUUAUUUUUUAUUGUAUAUAAUUAUGUGCAAUAAUAAUUAUAGUUACUAGUUUCCCUCAUAUAGUUUCUCAUCUGUUAUUCCCCCAUGCAUAUAAUAUG